rnacentral:rRNA from 1 species
UACGUAGGGGGCUAGCGUUGUCCGGAAUCAUUGGGCGUAAAGCGCGUGUAGGCGGCCCGGUAAGUCCGCUGUGAAAGUCGGGGGCUCAACCCUCGGAUGCCGGUGGAUACUGUCGGGCUCGAGUACGGAAGAGGCGAGUGGAAUUCCUGAUGUAGCGGUGAAAUGCGCAGAUAUCAGGAAGAACACCCGUGGCGAAAAGCGGCUCUCUGGAACGGUACUGACGCUGAGACGCGAAAGCGUGGGGAGCGAACAGG